rnacentral:rRNA from 1 species
AGCGAACGCUGGCGGCAGGCCUAACACAUGCAAGUCGAACGAACCUUUCGGGGUUAGUGGCGGACGGGUGAGUAACACGUGGGAACGUGCCUUUAGGUUCGGAAUAACUCAGGGAAACUUGUGCUAAUACCGAAUGUGCCCUUCGGGGGAAAGAUUAAUCGCCUUUAGAGCGGCCCGCGUCUGAUUAGCUAGUUGGUUGAGGUAAUGGCUCACCAAGGCGAGGAUCAGUAGCUGGUCUGAGAGGAUGAUCAGCCACAUUGGGACUGAGACACGGCCCAAACUCCUACGGGAGGCAGCAGUGGGGAAUCUUGCGCAAUGGGCGAAAGCCUGACGCAGCCAUGCCGCGUGAAUGAUGAAGGUCUUAGGAUUGUAAAAUUCUUUCACCGGGGACGAUAAUGACGGUACCCGGAGAAGAAGCCCCGGCUAACUUCGU